UUAGGAUUUUGUGCCUUUUAAGCUGGCAAAUCUUUUUACAUGUUGGAUCAUUGUAUAGGUUUUAUUUUUGUCUGCAGCUAUUUGUCCCCCCUUCCUAGAGGAUUUUAUAUAUCCAUUCCUGUAGCCAUGUGACCUCUUGCAGUGUCUACCCCAUCCCCCAGGGGUACUUCCUUGCUCCUGAUGCAGAUAGACGUGAGCAGACAUAACUUGCGCCAUGUCCACAUAGAAGCUUGAAGAGCCAUUUUGUAGUAGGGUUUUGUUCUUUUCCCUCUGCCAUGAGAACGUAUUUCCCAAACACGAGCUGUUUCUCAGCCUGGGUGCCAGAAUGGUAAGACACAUGGAGCAGAGCUGAACAGCUGGCUCACAGCCAUUGAUUGUAACUUGAAUGAGAACUAAAUGUUGUAGUAAACACUGAGAUUUGGGGUUGUUUGUUAUUAUAGCAAACCUGACUAAUACAUCAUUAAACAGAAACCAGCUGCUGUUCUUAAAAUA